CCCAAUAUAAGGUAGAUUGCCAAGCAAGGAGAGUAAGUAGUCUGGUCGCUUGUGGAGGAGGGAGAGAUGACAUCUGCAGAAUGGUAUGUGCCCACGAUCGAUGCGGUGCGAUAGGGAUCCUCGUGGCUGAGAGGCUCCAUAACUGGAAACUGAAGUUGCAAUCAAAGAAGAGAUGGUCCCGAGAUUCAGAGACGACGUUACGGAGGAGACAAGUUUGGUCAACUUGCAAUCCCCAUCUGAUCAGUCUGUCGCGUGUAGGAAGUCGAUCUUGUACCACAAGCCAGAAUGGAGAUUGUGUCUUGGUAUACCUCUAGAAGUCCAGAUUGGUCUAUGCCAUUGAACGUCCAUUCGCUCUUCACAAAGGUGGUAAUUGCCACAGCCCAUUCCUAGACAGAGAAGAGACAGUUGCGUUGAGAGGGAUACCCAAACGGUUUGUUGAGGCGGAGAGAUAGUCAUAGAGUCUGCCGAACGGAGUCCAGUUGUCAAACCAAAACCGCGCUGCAUUUCCAUUUUGAAGCCGAAGCUUGAUCAAGGGAAAAAUAGUGUCUCUCAGCUUUAGCAAUUUGUUGGCGAGCCAUGAGUAUGAUUGCUUUGGAGUUGUUGUCCAGUAGUUAUGAAUCGAGCCUUUGAGAAUAACUUCCUUGAACCACUUUACCCACACUGAGUCCUCCCUGAAGAACAACAUCCAUACUAGUCGCAGACAUCACGCUUUAUUCCAGGAACAUACUGCAUAGGGAAUUUAUUCUUGCGAUACAGGCUUUGAGUAAAAUGAAAGCUGAACACCAAAAUGUUGUUAUUCCAGCUAUCACAGUCUUGAUAAGGAGAAGCCGACCUGUAAACGAUAGAGACUUGACAGACCAGGAGGAGAACCGGGCUUUAACCUGCUGGAUUAGGGGCUCACAGUUGGUGAGGGAGAGCUUCCUCGAGUUGAGAGGAACACCUAGGUAGCGGACAGGAAGGGAACCUAGAGUCAUACCCGUUGAGGCUUGAAUUGUCUCCACUUCUGCAACUGAUA